GAUGAACGCUGGCGGUAUGCUUAAUACAUGCAAGUCGUACGAGGGCUUUUAGCCCUAGUGGCGGACGGGUGAGUAACACGUGAGAAUCUGCCCCUUAGGAGGAGGAUAACAGCUGGAAACGGUUGCUAAUACUCCAUAUGCCGGGAGGUGAAAGGAUUUAUUCACCUAAGGAGGAGCUCGCGUCUGAUUAGCUAGUUGGUGGGGUAAAGGCUUACCAAGGCGACGAUCAGUAGCUGGUUUGAGAGGAUGAUCAGCCACACUGGGACUGAGACACGGCCCAGACUCCUACGGGAGGCAGCAGUAGGGAAUUUUCCGCAAUGGGCGAAAGCCUGACGGAGCAAUACCGCGUGAGGGAUGACGGCCUGUGGGUUGUAAACCUCUUUUCUCAAGGAAGAAGUUCUGACGGUACUUGAGGAAUAAGCAUCGGCUAACUCUGUG
rnacentral:rRNA from 1 species